ACGUUAAAUUCAUCGCCUUUGGA
rnacentral:siRNA from 1 species